rnacentral:rRNA from 1 species
CCUACGGGAGGCAGCAGUGAGGAAUCUUGGUCAAUGGGCGCGAGCCUGAACCAGCCAAGCCGCGUGAGGGAAGACGGUCCUAUGGAUUGUAAACUUCUUUUGUCGGGGAGCAAAAGACGCUACGUGUGGCGUUCCGAGAGUACCCGAAGAAAAAGCAUCGGCUAACUCCGUUCCAGCGCCCGCGGUACUACGGAGGAUGCGAGCGUUGCCCGGAUUUAUUGGGUUUAACGGGGGCGCAGGCGGAAGAUCAAGUCAGCGGUAAAGUUGAGAGGCUCAACCUCUUCGAGCCGUUGAAACUGGUUUGCUUGAGUGAGUGAGAGGUAUGCGGAAUGCGUGGUGUAGCGGUGAAAUGCAUAGAGAUCACGCAGAACUCCGAUGGCGAAGGCAGCAUACCGGCGCUCAACUGACGCUCAUGCACGAAAGUGUGGGUAUCGAACAGGAUUAGAUACCCUGGUAGUC